UAAAUUCCUUAUUUUAAGCAUCGAAUGUGCCAUGUUUCCAAGGAACAUCAUAUACCCAACUAAUAAAAGAAAAAUAAAGACCCAAAAACUCUAACAAACUUAAAUCCACAACUCAACACCAUUUUUUCCAACAACGAUGCCAAAACCUCCAACUGAAGGAUAAAGUUAUCACGGUCAAGUAAAGUAACCCACCUAGGUUGGGGUCAUACCCAAAGGGAA
rnacentral:lncRNA from 1 species